GUAUUUUCAGGCUCCAGCCUCCCACCUCCUGUCCUGACCGUCUUCCCUCCGUCCAGCGCUGAGCUCCAGUCCAACAAAGCGUCUCUGGUCUGUCUGUCCAGUCAGUCUGUACCUUUUGCAGAAAUCACCUGGUUGGCUGCUGGGAGUCCAGUGAGCAGUGGGAUCUCUACCAGCACCGCUGUUCAGAAACCAGACCAGACUUUCCAAAUCAGCAGCUAUCUGGCCAUCCAGUCAUCAGACUGGAACAUGGAGAAGGUUUACACAUGUAAAGUGUCUCUGGGCUCCCAGACUUCAGAGAAAAACAUCAAAAAGUCAGACUGUCCCGCUGAAGAACAGUAGAGGAGCAGAACCACAAUUUAACAUCUGCUGCUUUACUGUU